UACAGGGGGGGCAAGCGUUGUUCGGAAUUACUGGGCGUAAAGGGCUCGUAGGCGGCCAACUAAGUCACACGUGAAAUCCCCAGGCUUAACCUGGGAACUGCGUGUGAUACUGGAUGGCUUGAAUUCGGGAGAGAGAUGCAGAAUUCCAGGUGUAGCGGUGAAAUGCGUAGAUAUCUGGAGGAAUACCGGUGGCGAAGGCGGCAUCCUGGACCGACAUUGACGCUGAGGAGCGAAAGCUAGGGGAGCAAACGGG
rnacentral:rRNA from 1 species